AUGUCGUCGUGCUGGUCGUCGGUGCUGGCCGUCCUCGGCGGCGCGGUGUCGGAAGAGGAGGCGCAGAUGCGGGGCAGGUUGCUGGCCGUCAAGGAGGCCGUGGCGUCGGAGGCGGAGGCGGUCGAGAACCUAGAGGAGGAGGUGAAGGCCCUGGAGCGUGCCCUGGCCGCGGCGGAGACGGAGAGGGAGGCGGCCGAGGCGAGGAGGCGGGAAGCCGAGGAGCGCACGGAAAAGGCCGUGGCCGAGCUGCGGGCCGCAGAGGAGGAGCACGAGGGCCGCGUGGAGGAGCUGCUGCUGACGGCGGAGCAGUCGGACGAGGCGGACGCGCGCAUCCGCGAGCGGGAGGAGAUGAUCAAGAUUAUCACCGGCAUCACCAGCAAUGAAAGGAAGCAGCGCUUGUUCUCUUAG
rnacentral:rRNA from 1 species